GAUGAACGCUGGCGGCGUGCCUAAUACAUGCAAGUCGAGCGAACAGACGAGGAGCUUGCUCCUCUGACGUUAGCGGCGGACGGGUGAGUAACACGUGGAUAACCUACCUAUAAGACUGGGAUAACUUCGGGAAACCGGAGCUAAUACCGGAUAAUAUAUUGAACCGCAUGGUUCAAUAGUGAAAGACGGUUUUGCUGUCACUUAUAGAUGGAUCCGCGCCGCAUUAGCUAGUUGGUAAGGUAACGGCUUACCAAGGCAACGAUGCGUAGCCGACCUGAGAGGGUGAUCGGCCACACUGGAACUGAGACACGGUCCAGACUCCUACGGGAGGCAGCAGUAGGGAAUCUUCCGCAAUGGGCGAAAGCCUGACGGAGCAACGCCGCGUGAGUGAUGAAGGUCUUCGGAUCGUAAAACUCUGUUAUUAGGGAAGAAUAAAUGUGUAAGUAACGAUGCACGUCUUGACGGUACCUAAUCAGAAAGCCACGGCUAACUACGU
rnacentral:rRNA from 1 species